rnacentral:tRNA from 14 species
GCCCGCCCUCGUCGAGGGCCGCGGCCGCGCCAGCUUCGAGCGGGCGCUUCGCCGCUGGAUGCCGCAGCGACGCUGGUUCCGAGGCAAGUCGCGCGUGC